GUGGGCAGAGGCGCUCCCGCUGCAGUGAUUUACAAAGGACCAUCCCUCCGGGACGCCGAUAAAAUAUGUCGGGGCUCCUAAUCCCGACAGCAUCAAGUGAGAGGGGGAAUAAAACCAUAUAUUACCCCGUCGGCCUUGGGGAUACAGCUGACAAAUAAACGCGUGUUUACAGCUCUAGGGACGUCUCCGGGGGGCUAUAAAUCACCGGGAAGAAAACAAAACCGAAAACAGGAAAUUAAGUGGAAGCGUCUGACCGUCGCCCCGGCCUCUGCUGGGGUCCACGGGAUGCAGCCCCUACAGCAGAACCACAGAAACAGCUGGGGUGAGGUGGAGAAGAGGGCUAAGUUCAGCAUCGGCCAUUCUGGUGGCACCAAAUCAAGGCAGAGGGAGUAAGGCCAGAAACAGAAAACAAGACAUCCAGACAGAGAGAGAUAACAGCAGACGUGCCCAGUCAAUGAAAAACAAUCACCACAAUUAGCAGUGGGCCUCAACAGCAGGCAAAUGGAGCUAGGGACCUAGUCCUGGGAGGCUUCCCAGGCAAAUCUUGGUGGCAAUUCCUGAGACUCUGCCCCCAGCCCCCUCUCACUCCCCUUCCCCUCCCUCCCCCUACUUGCUCCCAGCUCUUCUCAGGAGAUAGCAGUGCUGGGGACCUAGGAUGAAGCUGAGAGGUGAAUGAAUUGUUGGGGUGAGCGCUUACCCUGAGCAGAAUAAUCUUG
rnacentral:lncRNA from 1 species